rnacentral:rRNA from 1 species
AUUGAACGCUGGCGGCAUGCUUUACACAUGCAAGUCGAACGGCAGCACGGGGGCAACCCUGGUGGCGAGUGGCGAACGGGUGAGUAAUGCAUCGGAACGUGUCCUUAAGUGGGGGAUAACGCAUCGAAAGAUGCGCUAAUACCGCAUAAUCUCUAAGGAGAAAAGCAGGGGAUCGCAAGACCUUGCGCUUUUGGAGCGGCCGAUGUCUGAUUAGCAGUUGGUGAGGUAAGGCUUACCAAGGCUUCGAUCAGUAGCUGGUCUGAGAGGACGACCAGCCACACUGGGACUGAGACACGGCCAGAC